rnacentral:rRNA from 1 species
UAGGGAAUCUUCGGCCACUUGGACGGAAGUCUGACCGAGCAAACGCCGCGUGAGUGAAGAAGGUUUUCGGAUCGUAAAGCUCUGUUGUAAGAGAAGAACGAGUGUGAGAGUGGAAAGUUCACACUGUGACGGUAUCUUACCAGAAAGGGACGGCUAACUACGUGCCAGCAGCCGCGGUAAUACGUAGGUCCCGAGCGUUGUCCGGAUUUAUUGGGCGUAAAGCGAGCGCAGGCGGUUAGAUAAGUCUGAAGUUAAAGGCUGUGGCUUAACCAUAGUACGCUUUGGAAACUGUUUAACUUGAGUGCAAGAGGGGAGAGUGGAAUUCCAUGUGUAGCGGUGAAAUGCGUAGAUAUAUGGAGGAACACCGGUGGCGAAAGCGGCUCUCUGGCUUGUAACUGACGCUGAGGCUCGAAAGCGUGGGGAGCAAACAGGAUUAGAUACCCUGGUAGUCCACGCCGUAAACGAUGAGUGCUAGGUGUUAGACCCUUUCCGGGGUUUAGUGCCGCAGCUAACGCAUUAAGCACUCCGCCUGGGGAGUACGACCGCAAGGUUG